rnacentral:rRNA from 1 species
GACGAACGCUGGCGGCGUGCUUAACACAUGCAAGUCGAACGGAAAGGCCCUGCUUUUGUGGGGUGCUCGAGUGGCGCACGGGUGAGUAACACGUGAGUAACCUGCCCUUGACUUUGGGAUAACUUCAGGAAACUGGGGCUAAUACCGGAUAGGAGCUCCUGCUGCAUGGUGGGGGUUGGAAAGUUUCGGCGGUUGGGGAUGGACUCGCGGCUUAUCAGCUUGCUGGUGGGGUAGUGGCUUACCAAGGCUUUGACGGGUAGCCGGCCUGAGAGGGUGACCGGCGACAUUGGGACGGAGAUACGGCCCAGACUCCUACGGGAGGCAGCAGUGGGGAAUAUUGCACAAUGGGCGGAAGCCUGAGGCAGCAACGCCGCGUGCGGGAUGACGGCCUUCGGGUUGUAAACCGCUUUCGCCUGUGACGAAGCGGGAGUGACGGUAAUGGGUAAAGAAGCACCGGCUAACUACGUG